rnacentral:rRNA from 1 species
GAUGAACGCUGGCGGCGUGCUUAACACAUGCAAGUCGAACGGAAAGGCCGAAGCUUGCUUCGGUACUCGAGUGGCGAACGGGUGAGUAACACGUGGGUGAUCUGCCCUGUACUUCGGGAUAGGCUUGGGAAACUGGGUCUAAUACCGGAUAUGACGAUCUCUUGGAUGGGGUUGUGGAAAGCUUUUGCGGUAUGGGAUGAGCUCGCGGCCUAUCAGCUUGUUGGUGGGGUAAUGGCCUACCAAGGCGUCGACGGGUAGCCGGCCUGAGAGGGUGUACGGCCACAUUGGGACGGAGAUACGGCCCAGACUCCUACGGGAGGCAGCAAUGGGGAAUAUUGCACAAUGGGCGCAAGCCUGAUGCAGCGACGCCGCGUGGGGGAUGACGGCCUUCGGGUUGUAAACUCCUUUCGCAAUCGACGAAGCCUUUUGGUGACGGUAGGUUGAGAAGAAGCACCGGCUAACUACGUG